rnacentral:rRNA from 1 species
GACGAACGCUGGCGGCGUGCCUAAUACAUGCAAGUCGAACGCACAGUUUAUACCGUAGCUUGCUACACCAUAGACUGUGAGUUGCGAACGGGUGAGUAACGCGUAGGUAACCUGCCUGGUAGCGGGGGAUAACUAUUGGAAACGAUAGCUAAUACCGCAUAAUAUUGAUUAUUGCAUGAUAAUUGAUUGAAAGAUGCUAUUGCAUCACUACCAGAUGGACCUGCGUUGUAUUAGCUAGUAGGUGAGGUAACGGCUCACCUAGGCGACGAUACAUAGCCGACCUGAGAAGGUGAUCGGCCACACUGGGACGGAGACGCGGCCCAGACGCCUACGGGAGGCAGCAGUAGGGAAUCUGCGGCAAUGGACGAAAGUCUGACCGAGCAACGCCGCGUGAGUGAAGAAGGUUUUCGGAUCGUAAAGCUCUGUUGUAAGAGAAGAACGGGUGUGAGAGUGGAAAGUUCACACUGUGACGGUAUCUGACCAGAAAGGGACGGCUAACUACGUG